GACGAACGCUGGCGGCGUGCUUAACACAUGCAAGUCGAACGGAAAGGCCCUGCUUGCAGGGUACUCGAGUGGCGAACGGGUGAGUAACACGUGGGUGAUCGGCCCUGCACUUCGGGAUAAGCCUGGGAAACUGGGUCUAAUACCGGAUAGGAGCCAUUUUUAGUGUGAUGGUUGGAAAGUUUUUUCGGUGUAGGAUGAGCUCGCGGCCUAUCAGCUUGUUGGUGGGGUAAUGGCCUACCAAGGCGGCGACGGGUAGCCGGCCUGAGAGGGUGGACGGCCACAUUGGGACUGAGAUACGGCCCAGACUCCUACGGGAGGCAGCAGUGGGGAAUAUUGCACAAUGGGCGCAAGCCUGAUGCAGCGACGCCGCGUGGGGGAUGACGGCCUUCGGGUUGUAAACUCCGUUCGCUAGGGACGAAGCUUUUUGUGACGGUACCUAGAUAAGAAGCACCGGCUAACUACGUG
rnacentral:rRNA from 1 species